GACGAACGCUGGCGGCGUGCCUAAUACAUGCAAGUAGAACGCUGAAGAGAGGAGCUUGCUCUUCUUGGAUGAGUUGCGAACGGGUGAGUAACGCGUAGGUAACCCGCCUUGUAGCGGGGGAUAACUAUUGGAAACGAUAGCUAAUACCGCAUAACAAUGGAUGACACAUGUCAUUUAUUUGAAAGGGGCAAUUGCUCCACUACAAGAUGGACCUGCGUUGUAUUAGCUAGUAGGUGAGGUAACGGCUCACCUAGGCGACGAUACAUAGCCGACCUGAGAGGGUGAUCGGCCACACUGGGACUGAGACACGGCCCAGACUCCUACGGGAGGCAGCAGUAGGGAAUCUUCGGCAAUGGGGGCAACCCUGACCGAGCAACGCCGCGUGAGUGAAGAAGGUUUUCGGAUCGUAAAGCUCUGUUGUAAGUCAAGAACGAGUGUGAGAGUGGAAAGUUCACACUGUGACGGUAGCUUACCAGAAAGGGACGGCUAACUACGUGCCAGCAGCCGCGGUAAUACGUAGGUCCCGAGCGUUGUCCGGAUUUAUUGGGCGUAAAGCGAGCGCAGGCGGUUUGAUAAGUCUGAAGUUAAAGGCUGUGGCUCAACCAUAGUUCGCUUUGGAAACUGUCAAACUUGAGUGCAGAAGGGGAGAGUGGAAUUCCAUGUGUAGCGGUGAAAUGCGUAGAUAUAUGGAGGAACACCGGUGGCGAAAGCGGCUCUCUGGUCUGUAACUGACGCUGAGGCUCGAAAGCGUGGGGAGCGAACAGGAUUAGAUACCCUGGUAGUCCACGCCGUAAACGAUGAGUGCUAGGUGUUGGAUCCUUUCCGGGAUUCAGUGCCGCAGCUAACGCAUUAAGCACUCCGCCUGGGGAGUACGACCGCAAGGUUGAAACUCAAAGGGAUUGACGGGGGCCCGCACAAGCGGUGGAGCAUGUGGUUUAAUUCGAAGCAACGCGAAGAACCUUACCAGGUCUUGACAUCCCGAUGCUAUUUCUAGAGAUAGAAAGUUACUUCGGUACAUCGGUGACAGGUGGUGCAUGGUUGUCGUCAGCUCGUGUCGUGAGAUGUUGGGUUAAGUCCCGCAACGAGCGCAACCCCUAUUGUUAGUUGCCAUCAUUCAGUUGGGCACUCUAGCGAGACUGCCGGUAAUAAACCGGAGGAAGGUGGGGAUGACGUCAAAUCAUCAUGCCCCUUAUGACCUGGGCUACACACGUGCUACAAUGGUUGGUACAACGAGUUGCGAGUCGGUGACGGCAAGCUAAUCUCUUAAAGCCAAUCUCAGUUCGGAUUGUAGGCUGCAAACUCGCCUACAUGAAGUUCGGAAUCGCUAGUAAUCGCGGAUCAGCACGCCGCGGUGAAAUACGUUUCCCGGGCCU
rnacentral:rRNA from 1 species